UACGUAGGGUGCGAGCGUUAAUCGAAAUUACUGGGCGUAAAGCGUGCGUAGGCGGUUCGUUAAGUCAGCUGUGAAAGCCCCGGGCUCAACCUGGGAACUGCGGUUGAAACUGGCGAACUAGAAUCUGGCAGAGGGGGGUGGAAUUCCACGUGUAGCAGUGAAAUGCGUAGAGAUGUGGAGGAACACCGAUGGCGAAGGCAGCCCCCCUGGGCUGAGAUUGACGCUCAGGCACGAAAGCGUGGGGAGCAACAGG
rnacentral:rRNA from 1 species